rnacentral:rRNA from 1 species
AGAAUCAACGCCUGGCGGCGUGCCUAACACAUGCAAGUCGAACGAGAAAGGGGAGCAAUCCCUGAGUAAAGUGGCGCACGGGUGAGUAACACGUGACUAACCUACCCUGGAGUGGGGGAUAACUGAGGGAAACCUUAGCUAAUACCGCAUAACACCUACGGGUCAAAGGAGCAAUUCGCUUUGGGAGGGGGUCGCGGCCGAUUAGUUAGUUGGCGGGGUAAUGGCCCACCAAGACAGUGAUCGGUAUCCGGCCUGAGAGGGCGCACGGACACACUGGAACUGAAACACGGUCCAGACUCCUACGGGAGGCAGCAGUGGGGAAUUUUGCGCAAUGGGGGAAACCCUGACGCAGCAACGCCGCGUGGAGGAUGAAGUACUUCGGUACGUAAACUCCUUUCGAUCGGGACGAUAAUGACGGUACCGGAAGAAGAAGCCCCGGCUAACUUCGCGCCAGCAGCCGC